ACUAUGGCAUGGACCCUCAUCCUCGAGCCCCACUACUCAGAGGAGCUGGGAAGAAUUUCCACCCUUCCUAGUGGCAAGUCUCACUGUGAGAGCGGAGUGCCACCAGGCAAACAGGGCAGAAAGACUGCUUUAAGGAGAAUCCUUAUAUUGGGGGUUAUGAAGUGCAAUACACCCUCAUCCUCACGCUAACACUGGUACCAUGUAGCCCAAGCUUGUCUAACCUGCAGCCCGCGGGCUGUGUAUGGCCCAGGACAGCUCUGAAUGUGGCCCAACGCAAAUUUGUAAACUUUCUAAAACAUUAUGAGAUUUUUUUUUCUCAUCAGCUAUCAUCAGUGUGAGUGUAUGUUAUUUGUGACUCAAGACAAUCCUUCUUUUCCAAUGUGGCCCAGAGAAGCCAAAAGACUGGACACCCCUGAUGUGGCCCUUUCAUCCAUAGUAGCCUAUUUUGUCCUAAAGACGGUCUUGUGCAGUGAGUAGGCCAGGCCUCCCCACUACCACAGUUUACAGGCAAGGAAUGUGAUAUUUCAUAGGAUGACCCUGACUGGCACCUACAUUGCUAGCCAAAGAAUGGCACAAAGAUGUGGACAGAAGAGACAACCUUAAGCAGCUGACUGCUGGCUCCUGCAACAGUAUCAUCAUGGCAUUUGUCCUGGGGUCCCAAGGAAAGAAAACAAAUCUGUGGCUGAGGAACAGACUGAGUUGACAAAGCAGCUUCCACAGUAACACAAGGACAAAGGGUGUAUGUAGAUAUGCACGUGGUAGCAGGUUCUACUAAAGGAACCUGGACCGACCAUUCUCACUCACAUUCUUUGGGAGCUGUAUUCUAAUACUUUCAGAAAAGCCAUGGGAACACACCAGAGUGACUGCUCGAGUAAAUAAGUAGCAUAAACAGCAAGCCAAACCAUUGAUGUACACAUCACUGGGCCCAAUACUAUGAAAUCCCACAUAAGAAACUUGAAAGUGAAAGCUGGAAUUCUGAGGAUACUGGUUUUGCUUAAUAAACAGCAUUUCAACAGUUAUUGUCAUGAUAUUGCUACUGAUGCUGAACAAAGACCCAAGAACCAGGGUGAUGUUUAGCAUGGGCUGGCCUCAGCAGGACUGAAAGGACAUCAAUAAGGGAGAACAGAGAGAAGGAAGGAGGACAAGUGCCAACUUUGAGCAGGUAUCAGGUGUAUGUGGGGGCAAACCAUUUCUCCGUCCACCCUGAUGAUGAGUCCCCGUUUCCCUUUUUAAGGCCUGAUUUUUGCACCCUCACCCCACCUAAGGCAGCCAGGGGCCCACACUGCAAUACUCCUAGGUAACAUCCAUACUUUUUUUUUUUUUUUGAGAUAGAG
rnacentral:lncRNA from 1 species